rnacentral:rRNA from 1 species
UACGGAGGGUGCAAGCGUUGCUCGGAAUUAUUGGGCGUAAAGGGUAGGUAGGUGGUCUCAUUUGUCUGGGGUGAAAGCCUUGAGCUUAACUCAAGAAGUGCCUCAGAAACGGUGAGACUGGAGUCCUGGAGAGGGUCGUGGAAUUCCCGGUGUAGCGGUGAAAUGCGUAGAGAUCGGGAGGAACACCAGAGGCGAAAGCGGCGACCUGGACAGGUACUGACACUCAACUACGAAAGCGUGGGGAGCAAACAGG